UACGUAGGCAGCAAGCGUUGUUCGGAGUUACUGGGCGUAAAGGGUGUGUAGGCGGUCUUCUAAGUUUGGUGUGAAAUCUCCCGGCUCAACUGGGAGGGUGCGCCGAAAACUGGGAGGCUAGAGUGCGGGAUGGGAGAGUGGAAUUCCUGGUGUAGCGGUGAAAUGCGCAGAUAUCAGGAAGAACACCCGUGGCGAAAGCGGCUCUCUGGAACGGUACUGACGCUGAGACGCGAAAGCGUGGGGAGCGAACAGG
rnacentral:rRNA from 1 species